AUGUGCAUUGCAGGGCAACUACUCCGUUGGCAGAGGGAUGGAUUGGAUAUGGCUGAUGGCUUCCACCUGUCUGCCAAAGGAGAUUUGCCCGGCGAUUCACCC
rnacentral:pre_miRNA from 1 species